rnacentral:rRNA from 1 species
UACGUAGGGUGCGAGCGUUUGUCCGGAAUUAUUGGGCGUAAAGAGCUCGUAGGCGGUCUGUCGCGUCGAUCGUGAAAACUUGGGGCUUAACCCUGAGCUUGCGGUCGAUACGGGCAUGACUGGAGUUCGGCAGGGGAGACUGGAAUUCCUGGUGUAGCGGUGGAAUGCGCAGAUAUCAGGAGGAACACCGGUGGCGAAGGCGGAUCUCUGGGCCUUACCUGACGCUCAGGCGCGAAAGCUAGGGGGAGCGAACAGG